rnacentral:rRNA from 1 species
AUUGAACGCUGGCGGCAUGCCUUACACAUGCAAGUCGAACGGUAAAGGGCCGUUUGCUGCUGGCGUGAGCGGCGCGGGGGUGUAUAACGCCUAGAAAUCCCCGAGGUAGGGGGGGAUAACGUCCGAAGCCGGGCGCUAAUACCACACGCGCUACGAGGGAGAACGUGGGGGCUCAUGGGACUUCACGCUAGCAGAUGAGCCUAGGUCGGAUUAGCUAGUUGGUGGGGUAAAGGCAUACCAAGGCGACGAUCUGUAGCUGGUCUGAGAGGAUGAUCAGUCACACUGGGACUGAGACACGGCCCAGACUCCUACGGGAGGCAGCAGUGGGGAAUAUUGGACAAUGGGCGAAAGCCUGAUCCAGCCAUGCCGCGUGUAUGAAGAAGGUCUUCGGAUUGUAAAGUGCUUUAAGAUGGGAGGAAGGGCAGUAAGUUAAUACCGGGCUGUUAUGACGUUACCAUAAGAAUAAGCACCGGCUAGCUACGUG